AUGGUACUACCUCUGUCUGGAAUUAGUUGACGCUCAAACGGAUGUAUCUAAACAUAUUUCAGUGCUAGAUACAUCCGUUUGAGCGUCAACUAAUUCCAGACGGAGGGAGUGCUUU
rfam:Triticum aestivum genome assembly, contig: Triticum_aestivum_CS42_TGACv1_scaffold_001621_1AL